AUGAAGGAGCAAAUGGCUAUGUGUUUGAGGUAUCUUGGCAAACGAGGAGAGGUGAUUGAGAGAUUCAUGGCAGUUGAGCAUGUUCCUGACAAGAAAGCAACUUCACUAAAUAUAGCUUUGGAUGGUAUGUUUGCUACUCUUGGCUUGUCUAUGUCUAAUUUGAGAGGGCAGGGUUAUGAUGGGGCGUCAAACAUGAGAGGGGAAUUCCGUGGAUUGCAAAGAUUGAUCUUGGAGGAAAAUCCUUAUGCUCACUAUAUACAUUGUUUUGCCCAUCAGUUACAAUUAGUGGUUGUUGCUGUUGCCAAGUGUUGUUCAUCAGUAAGGGAUUUUUUAAUAGACAAGCAUGGUUGUUAA
rnacentral:rRNA from 1 species